GAUGAACGCUGGCGGCGUGCUUAACACAUGCAAGUCGAACGGGAAACAUUUUAUUGAAGCUUCGGCAGAUUUAGCUUGUUUCUAGUGGCGGACGGGUGAGUAACGCGUGGGUAACCUGCCUUAUACUGGGGGAUAACAGUUAGAAAUGGCUGCUAAUACCGCAUAAGCGCACGGAGCCGCAUGGCUCAGUGUGAAAAACUCCGGUGGUAUAAGAUGGACCCGCGUUGGAUUAGCUAGUUGGCAGGGCAGCGGCCUACCAAGGCGACGAUCCAUAGCCGGCCUGAGAAGGUGAACGGCCACAUUGGGACUGAGACACGGCCCAGACUCCUACGGGAGGCAGCAGUGGGGAAUAUUGCACAAUGGGGGAAACCCUGAUGCAGCGACGCCGCGUGAAGGAAGAAGUAUCUCGGUAUGUAAACUUCUAUCAGCAGGGAAGAUAAUGACGGUACCUGACUAAGAAGCCCCGGCUAACUACGUGCCAGCAGCCGCGGUAA
rnacentral:rRNA from 1 species